GAUGAAGAACGCAGCGAAAUGCGAUACGUAGUGUGAAUUGCAGAAUUCAGUGAAUCAUCGAAUCUUUGAACGCACAUUGCACCUCUCGGUAUUCCGGGAGGUAUGCCUGUUCGAGCGUCAUUUGUACCUUCAAGCUCUGCUUGGUGUUGGGUGUUUGUUCCGCCUCUGUGUGUGAACUCGCCUCAAAACAAUUGGCAGCCGGCGUACUUGUUUCGGAGCGCAGCACAUUUUGCGAUCCAGAUCAACGUACAGCGGCAUCCAAGAAGCCUUAUUUAACGCUCUUGACCUCGGAUCAGGUAGGGAUACCCGCUGAACUUAAGCAUAUCAAUAAGCGGAGGA
rnacentral:misc_RNA from 1 species